UCUCACUGUUAGUAAACUGUCCUAAUAAUUUUAAAAAAAUAUCAAUUUUUUUAAACAAUUUUUAGUAAGGGUUGUGUUCGUUAAGGGACUGAACCAAACAUCUUACGACACGAACUGACGACAGCCAUGCAACACCUGAAUAAAAAUAACAAAUUCCUUAUUUCUCAUAAAGAGACAUAAAAUACUUUAUUUUUUUUUUAUUAUCAAAAAUUGGUAAGGUUCUACGCGUUGUAUCGGAUUAAACCACAUGCUCCACCGCUUGUGCAAGCUUCCGUCAAUUUCUUUGAAUUUCAAUCUUGCAAUCAUACUACUCAGGUGGAGUACUUAACGCUUUAGCUUAACUUCCAAAAAAAUAUUUUCCAAAAAUAAGAACUCAUCGUUUACAGUAUAGACUAC
rnacentral:misc_RNA from 1 species